rnacentral:rRNA from 1 species
UACGUAGGGACCAAGCGUUGUCCGGAAUCAUUGGGCGUAAAGAGCUCGUAGGCGGUUUGUUGCGUCGGCCGUGAAAACUUCACGCUUAACGUGGAGCUUGCGGUCGAUACGGGCAGACUUGAGUUCGGUAGGGGAGACUGGAAUUCCCAGUGUAGCGGUGAAAUGCGUAGAUAUUGGGAGGAACACCAGUGGCGAAGGCGGCUCACUGGACCGGUUCUGACGCUGAUGCGCGAAAGCGUGGGGAGCAAACGGG